GGCUGGUCCGAUGGCAGUGGGUUAUCAGAACUUAUUAACAUUAGUGUCACUAAAGUUGGUAUACCACCCCCCCACUGCUAAAUUUGACUAAAUUUUA
ensembl:misc_RNA Y_RNA Y RNA